rnacentral:rRNA from 1 species
UCUUUCUUUUGCUGGCGACCGGCGCACGGGUGAGUAACACGUAUCCAACCUGCCCUUUACUCGGGGAUAGCCUUUCGAAAGAAAGAUUAAUACCCGAUAGCAUAAUGAUUCCGCAUGGUUUCAUUAUUAAAGGAUUCCGGUAAAGGAUAGGGAUGCGUUCCAUUAGGUUGUUGGUGAGGUAACGGCCCACCAAGCCUUCGAUGGAUAGGGGUUCUGAGAGGAAGGUCCCCCACAUUGGAACUGAGACACGGUCCAA